rnacentral:rRNA from 1 species
UACAGAGGUCCCAAGCGUUGUUCGGAUUUACUGGGCGUAAAGGGUGCGUAGGCGGUUGGGUAAGUCUGACGUGAAAUCUCCGAGCCUAACUCGGAAACUGCGUUGGAUACUAUCCGGCUAGAGGAAUGGAGGGGAGACUGGAAUACUUGGUGUAGCAGUGAAAUGCGUAGAUAUCAAGUGGAACACCAGUGGCGAAGGCGGGUCUCUGGACAGUUCCUGACGCUGAGGCACGAAGGCCAGGGGAGCAAACGGG